AGGUAUGCUUCUUUAAUUUGAAUAUUAUGUGGCGGAGCAAUAAUGGACUAAUAAUGAAAUUACUUAUUCUAAUGUAUAAUUAAAUGAGUUAUGGGAUGCAAUUUAAAGAAUACAAGCUGAAAUUGAUGACUAUUAUGAAUAGCUUGAUGAGAUAUGUUAUUUGAUGGAUUUAUAUGGUGGUCCUAAUUAUGCUCCUUAUAGUUUAUUUGAUGAGUAUCAAGAUUUACAAAUAAUAUUACAAUAUAGUGAGAAAGCACUUGAAGAAUGUAAGGAUGAAUACCAUGUUUAACAAACUCAUCAACAAGUUAAAAAGAAAGAAUUUGAAGAGUUUGAAGCAUGAAAAGAAGCGUAUAUGUUUCAAUUGAGAGAAUAGUUAGAUACAAGAAAAAGUAUUG
rnacentral:misc_RNA from 1 species